CAAACAGGAGCGGCGUCUUGCUUUUUCCUCCAAGUCGUGGUUUUUGCUAAUUACCCUGUUAAUUGUAAUUAGAACAUGCAUGAUACUACAAGAUAAGACUCAGGAGCUGACGACAGGUGUAUUGAACUCAUUUUUGCGGCGCAUUAGUGAAUUCAAGCCUAGAAAAGGUUAAAAAAAAAUAUUUAAAUUAAGAUGAGAUUGUGAAUGCUAAUUCUAAACAAGAAUCAUGGCUGAAGUUAUUGACCUUUCUGAUGAUGAUGUUUUGGUGGAUGAGGUGGCUGUGAGUAAAGUCGUACCUCCUACACUAAAGAGACCCUUCAGAUGCCUGAAUUCUGAUUGUCGUUCAGAGAAAGAUUUAGUUCGGGCAGACAAAUACAUCCGCAGAUUUUUUGGUGUCUUGUCAUAUCCAAA